rnacentral:lncRNA from 10 species
GGGGCCUCACCAUCUUGGCCAGGCUGGUCUUGAACUCCUGACCUCAUGAUCCACCCACCUUGGCCUCCCAAAGUGCUGGGAUUACAGGCAUGAACCACUGUGCCCGGCCAAAUCUUUCAUUGUUAAUUUACCCUCUUUGCAGUACGGUACACGUACCAUCAACUGUGCUUCCACCUUCCAAUUGGGAGAUGCUCUGUUUUACCUUUUCCAGAUAGUACCUAGCAGGGGGAGCCUGUUGGGCAGAGGGAUUAAGUGCUUCUGAAACAGCUUCUACUCAGCUUUCCUUAUGGUAGUCGUACCUUUAUCCUGGGGUCCGGAAAUGCCAGGUGCUGCCCAUUGCCAUGCCUUUUUAAGAUUCUAGAGAGUAAAUUGGGUUGGUUUAUGGUUUUCUCCAUUGCUACUUUGAGUUUUAACUUUCUCAGGUUUUCAAAGUCAGUUACCAUUCCUUUGCUUUCUAAACUUUAACUUUAUAUCCUUCCCAGAACAAAAUGUUUGAAAAUGACUGUUGAACAAACAUGUAUUUUGGAUACAUUCAUUUCUUUGAUCUCAAAAGUCUGUUUUAUUUUUUUAAUAGCUUUGUUAGUGAAUGCAUGUGUUGGCACAGGAGUUGCAAUGUCAAAUGCCUACAGGGGCCAGGCACGUGUUUUGGCUCCUCUCAAAAUCCUGAACAGGUCAGGGUCAGAGUCAGUUAAGUUUGGAAGAAUCCCAGAGCAAUAAAACUUGUGUCCCAUUUGGGACCUUAUGGGAGGAGAACACUUGUUUCAGGCCAGAAGUUAGCAGCUGUGGGGGUUGAGGGGUGGUAGAGAUGACCAUGUGACACAAGGUGGUGAGACAGAGGGUCUGAGGGUCCCCACCCUGCUGGUUCCCCAUGGUUUGAACCUGAGGGGACAGUUUCAGAAGUUCCUGUACGUCCCCAGUGGGGGACAUGGAAAGUAGGUGAGAGAUGCAAGUCAGGAGCAUUGCCAUGGGCACCCUGGGUGAGAGGCAAGGUAACGCCAUGCAGAGCCUGCAAGGUAGGCUGCCUGCGCCAGGGCCAGGCAGAGUGCAUGUCUCAGACAGAGGAUCCAUGACUCCAGGAAAGCUGAGCUGAGAGUUUUGGAGGUGGUAGUGGAGGUGUUAUUAUUGCCUGGCCUCAACUAUGUCAAGAAAACAGACCACAGAUCACAAGUGAAACCAAGGAUUUCAACAGUGGAUACAAGCAGGACCCCAGGAGACCAGCAGCCCCUGCCUUCCUUAGGAAGUCGUCUAAAUUGUUUCUUCCUGGAGAUGCCAUCUUGGGAAGAGGAGGAGGUGGUGAACCAUUGAGCCUAAGAAACAGCAGUGAUGGACUUUGAACCUUCAAUUUGACUGAAUAUUGAUCUGAAAGAGAUAUUUAAAUUGAAAGAGUCUCUGUUGAAGCAAGUGAAACUUUUAAUUUGAAAGAGACUGAACUACCUUUAACUAGCAAAUUUCAACGCUUCUAUCAUCAGAAAUUUUGUGCUCAUAAGAAAGAGUAAUGAGUUAUAAAACCUGAAGAAGCCACAUUUAUCUUAAAAUAUUUGUUAGUGUACAUGUUAAAAUAUGAUUGGGUUCUCUCAUUGAAAUGUUGAUUUUAUUUGAAUUCAAUGAAUGCCACUUCAUUAGGUAUUUUUUAAAUCUUUUAUGUAUUUAUUAUGUUUGUUGCAUCGAGUGGCAUAAUUGUUUGAAUACAAAACUAAAGAAA